CGGUAUUCCCUUCGCACCGCUCCCUCGGAUUAUCCUCAUGGCCAUGGCGACGAUGCCCUCCUCGCUUCCCCGCCUCCUCUCUCUUCGCUUCCCGGGGCCCAACCCUCGUGGAUUUGGAAACCCUCCGCCUCCCCAAGCACUCGCCGGCGGCGCCACCUCCCUCGAAGCCAAGGCCGACCUCCUCGCCCUCAUCGCCGACCAGGACAGGGGCCUCCGCACCCAAUCCGACCCGGCGAAGCGGGCCCAGAUCGUCGCCGCCAUCUCGGCCCUCGGCGAAAUCGGCGGUGGCCAGAUCACGACCGGACCCUCCCUCUCCGGGACGUGGAGGAUGCUGUGGACCACCGAGAAGGAGCAGCUCUUCAUCAUCAAGAACGCGUAUCUCUUCGGCACCCGCACCGGGGACGCCCUCCAGGUCAUCGACGUGGGCAAUGCCUCGCUGAACAACGUGAUCACCUUCCCCCCUUCUGGAGUUUUCUUCGUGCGAUCCUCGAUCGAAGUUGCGUCGCCCCAGAGAGUCAAUUUUGCAUUCACUAGUGCUGUUCUGAGAGGGAGCGGUUGGGAGAUUCCACUUCCCCCUUUCGGACAAGGAUGGUUCGAAUCUAUAUACUUGGAUGAUGAUAUUCGAGUAGUGAAAGAUAUUCGAGGAGAUUACUUGGUCGUGGAUCGUGCUCCUUACUCUUGGAAAGAAUGAAGUAACGGUUCAAGACAUCAGAAUCUCUCCAUUUGGAGUUCCUAUAUCAUUUAUAACAAUAAAACUCAUCAUGGUCAUGGGCGGAGCCGGUUACAAUCCUCCCGGGCGAUGAGAAGGGGAAAAAGUUAAAUUUACUGUGGAAAAAAAGGCACAAUCAAAAGAAAAAGAGGAUAGCUCGGGUGUCGGUGUCGCCGCUCGUGGCCCGCAGUCUGGGUAGAUCACCCAGACUAACUCUGCUAUCGAUCAUGGUUCAUAGAAAGGAUAUAUUU